UACAGAGGGGGCAAGCGUUGUUCGGAAUUACUGGGCGUAAAGGGCGCGUAGGCGGCCUUCUAAGUCGAACGUGAAAUCCCUGGGCUCAACCCAGGAACUGCGUCCGAUACUGGAAGGCUUGAAUCCGGGAGAGGGAUGCGGAAUUCCAGGUGUAGCGGUGAAAUGCGUAGAUAUCUGGAGGAACACCGGUGGCGAAGGCGGCAUCCUGGACCGACACUGACGCUGAGGAGCGAAAGCCAGGGGAGCAAACGGG
rnacentral:rRNA from 1 species